CAUGCAGGUCGGUCGGACGCGUUUCCAGUGACAGCGGGUGGCUUAACUACCCGAGGGUUGGAAAGACGGUUUGACUUGAGGGCUCGAGAGGGACACGGAAUUCCGGGUGGAGUGGUGAAAUGCGUAGAGAUCCGGAGGAACAUCAAAGGCGAAGGCAGUGUCCUGGCGAGUGACUGACGCUGAGGUGCGAAAGGCCAGGGGAGCGAACGGGAUUAGAUACCCCGGUAGUCCUGGCCGUAAACGAUGACCACCAGGUGUAGGAGGUAUCGACCCCUUCUGUGCCGGAGUAAACACACUAAGUGGUCCGCCUGGGGAGUACGGUCGCAAGAUUAAA
rnacentral:rRNA from 1 species